rnacentral:rRNA from 1 species
GUGGCUUGUCAUUGAGCUACCAAUAGGCUGGCAUUGAAGUUCAUUUAGGCAAACAACACGGUCCUUUGGCUGUGUAUAUUGACGAAUGAGCGUGCCAUGUACUGAUGUAGCUGUCUGAUGGAUUUUAAAGGCCAUAUCAUUGAUGCUUGCUCAUCACCCGCCUCACGGUGGGCUUUGUUGGAUAUGUGCCCGAUCAACAACGGUUUCAUUUGGGAUACCUUUGGGACCCGUCUUGAAACACGGACCAAGGAGUCUAUCUAGUAUGCAAGUAAAUGGGAUUAACGAACUAAACCUAUUUGCGUAAAGAACUUGACUGUUUAGAUGGGAUUACGUGUUGCAUUGCAGUAAUGUGUGCGCACCUCCAUCCCGGGGUAUUUUCACAACAUAUGUGGGCAACUACAUAUAGAAAAUAUACCAUGAGCAUACUGGACAUGACCCGAAAGAUGGUGAACUAUGCCUGAUCAGGUUGAAGUCAGGGGAAACCCUGAUGGAGGACCGAAGCAAUUCUGACGUGCAAAUCGAUUGUCAGA